UUUUAUGUUUCUAAACGAAACAUGUCUAGAAGACAGCUGCAGUGCAACAGUCCUCAAUGAAGCAGCCCCUCCUAACUUUACUUCAUGAGUGUCUGCAGGACUGUUAGGAGAGGUGGAGGUGUAGCUGCUCUAUUUAAAGAUGUCUAUCAAUGCAAGCAAGUGUUUAAAGAUGUCUAUCAAUGCAAGCAAGUGUCAUUUGGUCAGUACUUGUCUUCUGAAUAUUAAGGGAUUGUGCUGAAAGGUGCUCCACGCAUUCUGUUUAUCAUUAUUUACAGGCCUCCAAAAUACUCUCCAGCCUUUGUUGAAGAGUUCACAGAAAUGCUAUCAAUGAUUUCCUCAGAGUUUGACUGUUUUGCUAUUGCAGGGGAUUUUAAUAUUCACAUAGAUAAUGCAGAAAACAAAACUACAAAAGAAAUGAUAAUGGUUUUAAACACUUUUGACCUGAUUCAGCAUGUGCAUGGACCCACACACAAAGGUGGACACACUCUAGAUUUAAUCAUCAGUAGGGGUCUAAACAUUUCAUCCACUGUUAUUAAGGACGUAGCACUAUCUGAUCACUUCUGUAUUUUCUUUGAUUUAUUGAUCUCUGCUACCACUGUAUCUAGGUCUGUCUCUGUCAGAAAGAGAUGCAUUAACGAGAACACUAGUGUGCUAUUUAGAGCUCCACGCAUUCUGUUUAUCAUUAUUUACAGGCCUCCAAAAUACUCUCCAGCCUUUGUUGAAGAGUUCACAGAAAUGCUAUCAAUGAUUUCCUCAGAGUUUGACUGUUUUGCUAUUGCAGGGGAUUUUAAUAUUCACAUAGAUAAUGCAGAAAACAAAACUACAAAAGAAAUGAUAAUGGUUUUAAACACUUUUGACCUGAUUCAGCAUGUGCAUGGACCCACACACAAAGGUGGACACACUCUAGAUUUAAUCAUCAGUAGGGGUCUAAACAUUUCAUCCACUGUUAUUAAGGACGUAGCACUAUCUGAUCACUUCUGUAUUUUCUUUGAUUUAUUGAUCUCUGCUACCACUGUAUCUAGGUCUGUCUCUGUCAGAAAGAGAUGCAUUAACGAGAACACUAGUGUGCUAUUUAUGGAGGCUAUAUCUUUAACACCAAAUAUUUCUGCAGACUCUGUUGAUCUUCUUCUUGAUUCCUUUAACUCAAAAGUUAAGAAUGUUAUUGAUGAUAUUGCUUCUGUAAUAGUCAAUAAGAA
rnacentral:lncRNA from 1 species